GUGCUCGUUUUGGCUGGACAUACACUACAAGUGGAACUAUACAGAGAAGAUUAGCACAGCUCGUGCAUAAGGAUGAUAUAGACAUUUACAAAGUGUUCUAUAUUUUU
ensembl:snRNA U6 U6 spliceosomal RNA